rnacentral:tRNA from 1 species
GCUGUGGUCGUCUAGUGGUUUAGGAUGCGGGCCUGUGGAGCCCGCGACCCGGGUUCGAAUCCCGGCCACGGCC